AUGUACCCUGUACAUUUUUCACUUUUUAAAGUAUAAUGUCCAAUGAACAAUGGCUGAAGACAGUAGGUUCGUGGGUGCUAUGUGCAGCUUGCUACUUAUUUAAGUUGUCUUAGACGCCCUGGAGAUAGGC